AAGACCUUCACUGUCACUGUCAAUGUCACUGCUCCACAAUCAGGUCUGUCUCCAGGUGCGAUAGCAGGGAUAGCUAUUGCUGUUAUUGCGGCGGUGGCUGCAGCUGUUGGUGGCAUUUAGUAUGGCUACAGGAAAAAGGGAGAAAUGUUGUGAGCUUCAGUGGCAGAUGUUGAAUGUCGGUGAUUCCACUAAACGCAGAAGAAAUACGCCAGAGGAGCGGCCUUUGAUAAAGAAAAACUCUCCCGACAGCUUCAGGACGAAACCAAUGUGACAUUUUCAUUAAUCAAAAUUAGUCAUAUUUUUCCUCAUGUGAGCCUCUGAUAUCCUCUGUGUGCAGAUACAUCUGAUCCAAAUCUCACAUUUCAUACCUGU